AAGUGCCGGGUGGGUUUGAACCACCAACCUUACGGUUGACAGCUGAACUUGUUAGCCGAUUGCACCAUGACU